AUCGAUGGAGGCGUUGGAGCUGGAGCUGGAAGAAGUGGAGUCCCAGAUCCGCGCGCUGGUGGCCCAGCGCACCCGGGGCGCGGCUCAGCCAGGCGUCGUUCACGCCGACACCCGGCUACCACGGCGCCUGGGUGCAGCCGCGCAAGGUGCUUCCCAGAUCCCGGGGCAGAACGUCUCCGCCUGUGUUCGAGAUCUCCACGGAGAACCGCUUCUCCCCGCUCCGCGAGUCGGGUCCGAUGUGGCCAUCAUCGGUGACUCGAUCGUUCGUCACGUCCGUGCCGCCUCCUCAAAAGGUAAUAAAGUACGUACUUUCUGCUUUCCUGGUGCCCGUGUGAAAAAUAUUUCUACACAGAUUCCAACCAUCCUGGGCGCUGCCGAGAGCCCUGGUGCCGUUGUCCUCCACAAGGACUUCAGGAGCCUGAUCGAGACGGUUCGACGCACCUCGCCCGCCACGCAGAUCAUCGUUUCUGGGCCGCUUCCUACCUACCGCCGAGGAAAUGAAAGGUUCAGUAGACUUUUAGCUUUGAAUGAAUGGCUAAUAACAUGGUGUAAAGAACAAAAAUUGCUCUUUGCUAAUAACUGGAAUCUUUUCUGGGAGCGUCCUAGGCUCUUCCGUCCUGACGGCCUGCACCCCAGUCGAGCCGGAGCUGAACUCCUGUCGGACAACAUCUCCAGACUACUUCGCACCAUCUGACUAGCAG
rnacentral:lncRNA from 1 species